GAGACACGGCUGGGCGGCGUGCCUAAUACAUGCAAGUCGAACGGUCUUUCUAUGGAAGCUUGCUUCCACUGAGAAGAUAGUGGCGAACGGGUGAGUAACACGGUGGGUAACCUGACCCAUAAGAGGGGGGAUAACAUCCGGAAACGGGUGCUAAUACCGCAUAGUUUUCUUGAUCGCAUGAUCGGGAAAGGAAAGACGGCCUUUGUGCUGUCGCUUAUGGAUGGACCCGCGGCGUAUUAGUUAGUUGGUGAGGUAACGGCUCACCAAGACGGAUGAUACGUAGCCGACCUGAGAGGGUGAUCGGCCACAUUGGGACUGAGACACGGCCCAAACUCCUACGGGAGGCAGCAGUAGGGAAUCUUCCGCAAUGGACGAAAGUCUGACGGAGCAACGCCGCGUGAGUGAAGAAAGGUUUUCGGAUCGUAAAACUCUGUUGUCAGAGAAGAACAAGUUGGAGAGUAACUGCUCCAGCCUUGACGGUAUCUGACCAGAAAGCCACGGCUAACUACGUGCCAGCCGCCGC
rnacentral:rRNA from 1 species